GAGAUUCUCAAUGGGCAUGAUCCCUCUAGUAGGGAGGGAGGAGGAGGGAGUUUAAAUCUCUUGCUGCAAAUAGGUGAAGGGGUGGCUAUAUGAGGCAGAGGACAGGAGGCAGGCAGGGUGCUGCUGGCUGGAGGGAAGGAGCUUCACCUCGGCUUAAACUGUAACCCUCUAUUCAGAGCACGCAGCUCCUGGCAGCUACGCUCAUUCCAAAGCCUUGACUCAGGGUUAUCUGCAUUCUGGGUAAUAAUUUGCGUCACUGGAGGAAUGUGCAAAGAAAGCAGCUAUGGUGGAAAGCAGGACCACCUUGUGCAAAGUUCGCCCCAGGCUUUCCUAACAAAGCUCCGAAGAAUUGAGGGUAUUACUCUGUGUUGGUUUGUUCAUUUUCUAGUAGCAAAGGAGAAGCAGCUCAUGUCUUAGGCUGGAUGUUCAUUAAAACAUGCCCAGGCUGGCGCACCUUUGGGGGGAAGAGCAAAGGCACAAGGAACACUACCAACUGUGUGAUCUUCGCAUGGACAUUUGGUCAAGCUGAGUUUAAAGAAGGCAGAUUGAUCAAUCCAUCAGUGUCCUUGAAUGGCUGGCUGCCGGUUUGUGACAGCUCCAGGCAAAACCCAAAAGAGACAAUGAUGUCAGCACUACCUUCAUCACCCAGGGCCCCUUGCCUGACAAUGUGGACAAUCCAACACAUUCCGAUCUGCCACAAUAAGGGCAUUCAGACUCCUAUUUCCUGACCUCUUGAGAUUAAAACAUGUGGAGUUAAAUAUAUAUACAGCCUGAUGCACAUGGACUUAUAUUGGCCCAGAAAUAGACUGAUGGGAAAUAGUCUGCAGCUUUUGCCACCCAACACGCAGUAUCAGUGUCAACUUUGUCAUUGAGAAAAACACAUGUUCGGGGGGAGGGGGCAAGGGAGAAGAAGGGGAAUGUACAGUAAAUGUUCGUGUAGCUAAGAUACAGUUCUCUUCUGCACACUGCAAUUCUGUGUCCAGUCAGUGGCACUGCGUGUGAGACCCCCCAAAAGACCUUGAGAUGGAUAGAUAAAAUAGAAAGUGAGGGAUUAAGGCAGUAAAGGGAAAAUGGUAGUAAAACCAGUCCUGUAAUUCCAUAAAUUAUUCUUUAUUUUCUAGCACUGCCUUUUUUGAGCAUUCACAGCAAAGCAGCGUCAUAGUUGGGAUGGGUGUGUUCACUCACAGCUGAUGCAAGAGAGAGAGAGAGCCUGUUAGAUGGAGUGCCUUUCCAUAUUGCUGUGUUGGGGUAUAAUGACAUACUAGGAGAAUCUCUGGCAAGCUGAAUGAAGUGUUUUUAUCCUUAUAGUGGGAGCCAACAGUUAAAGGGAAAUUAUCUCUAUAAAUGUGUCUUAUUGCCAGUUUUAUUGGUGGUGGUAUAUGUGUGUAUAUGGCUGUGCAUGUGUUUGCGUGUGUGUGUACUAUGUUUAGUUGUCCAUAUGUAUCUAUAUGCCUCCAUAUUUGUCUCUAAUUGUGUAUGUAUAUUUCUCUGCAUGUUUCCUUAUUUGUUUCAGUCUUUGUCUGUAUCCACAUAUAUGCGUGUUCCCAUUAAUAUGUAGUAAGAGAAAGAUGAUAAACUUAGAGACAA
ensembl:lncRNA